rnacentral:lncRNA from 1 species
UGAGGAGCAUCUCUGUGUCCCAUGGGGAGGGACCAAUGAAGAGAGCAAAAGUUAUCAUUUGUGGGGGUCCUAGCCAAGCAGACUGAGUUUCCAGGUAGGACUCCAGGCCUGGAGUUUCAAUCAGCUGUCUUAGAUAUUAUUAUUAGUAAAGAAGAGAAAACAACUAGCUAGCUGACACUAACAGGGAAAGGCACUCCCAAUAUCCUUUAAUAUCCUUCUGACUUCCUGAGACAGUUUGGUCCCAGAGAUGCCUAAGUCUGUAGUCCCUGCAUAUCCCUGAAUGAGGCUCAGUCACCUCAGCAGCCUUAACUGAAAAUGCAGCACCUUCCUCCAUUCCAAAAAUGAAAGUGUUUAGACCAGAACCUACACUCUUAGAAAACAUUAGGAACGUUUCCAUGGGUCAAAGAAAACAGUAUGUGGGACAGAAGGAGGAGACAAGGAAGGAUGAAGAGCCGUAGCUGCCCAGAACCCAACGACUCUCCCCUCUGUUGUUCCCCGUUCCCACCGUGAUUGUUCUAGUCUCCUGGCCAAGAGCCUUAGGACUGUUCUGCCUCCUCCCUCACCAAGUCCUGUUAACUCUUCCUCCAUAACACCCUUUGCUUCUGUCCCUACUGUGCCCUCCCUGUGCCCCACCCUAGUCCA